CCCUGGCUCAGGACGAACGCUGGCGGCGUGCCUAAUACAUGCAAGUCGAGCGAACCAAUAGGAGCUUGCUCCUGUUGGUUAGCGGCGGACGGGUGAGUAACACGUGGGCAACCUGCCUGUAAGACUGGGAUAACACCGGGAAACCGGUGCUAAUACCGGAUAAUCCUUUUCCUCUCAUGAGGAAAAGCUGAAAGUCGGUUUCGGCUGACACUUACAGAUGGGCCCGCGGCGCAUUAGCUAGUUGGUGAGGUAACGGCUCACCAAGGCGACGAUGCGUAGCCGACCUGAGAGGGUGAUCGGCCACACUGGGACUGAGACACGGCCCAGACUCCUACGGGAGGCAGCAGUAGGGAAUCUUCCACAAUGGACGAAAGUCUGAUGGAGCAACGCCGCGUGAGCGAUGAAGGCCUUCGGGUCGUAAAGCUCUGUUGUUAGGGAAGAACAAGUACCGGAGUAACUGCCGGUACCUUGACGGUACCUAACCAGAAAGCCACGGCUAA
rnacentral:rRNA from 1 species